CAUCAUCUCCGAGGCCAAAACAAUUAGUGCGCCCCCUAUCGCUCAUUAACUAUAAAUGAGGCAUCGGAGUGAGCUGGCAAAGUCGCGUGCCUCGGCUUCAGGGCUCCUGGCUGCACGUGGGGUUUUCUGCAAACACUGCAGUCCUCGAAAAGCUGCAAACAAUCCAGCCUGAGAGGCGAGUUUUAAAGCUAAAAUAUGCAAAGUCAUUUGAAGGCAGAACGAAGUCUUUCAUGGCAGUUCUUGUUGUAAAGGGCAAUCACUUCUACUGUCAUUCACUCCUCUGUUUAAGGAAAAAAAAAAAAAAACCAACAACAACGUGAUAAAUGGCGCCUGCUGAGAGGAGACGUCGCCACCACAGAAACGAGUCUCGGCGGGAAUUCAGAAGAGCUUAUAGGACGAUAUAAGUACAUGGGUUCAGGGACACUUCAGAAAACCAUUGUCGGUGAACACAGUCUGCCUCUACAUCUACAAGUUGAACCUCUACCACGCAAAGCCGUACAUCACCAGAAACGCUGCCAGCUUCUCCGGACCAGAGAUCAUUCCAGAUGGAUUGGUGCAAAGAGGAAGAGUGUCCUGUAGUUUGACGAGUCCACAUUUCAAAUAGAUUUUGGGAAUCACGGCCGUUGUGUCCUCCACGCCAAAGAUGGACAGAUCUGAGUGGAUCGUUGACAGCACAAAGUUCCAGCAUCUGUGAUUCCACCUCCUGACUUGCCAUGUUUUUCAGAGUCGUCCCUCCUUGACGAUGCCAAGCCACAAUCUCCACGUGUCGCAACAGUGUGGCGAUUAUAGUAUUGGAGUGCCGGUACUAAACCUGUCUCACAUUGAACAUGUGUGGCACACUCCGAAGCGCAAAAUACAAGGGAGAUCCUGUUGAGUAACUGAAGUUGCACGUCAAGCAAGAGUGGGAAAAUAAUUCCACCUACAAAGUUUCUCAGUAUCCUCAGUUCUUAGACACUUAUUGAGUGUUGAAAGGUAACAGUGGUAAACGUGACCCUGUCCCAACUUUUUUGGA